rnacentral:rRNA from 1 species
UACGUAGGGGGCAAGCGUUGUCCGGAAUCAUUGGGCGUAAAGCGCGUGUAGGCGGUCCGGUAAGUCCGCUGUGAAAGUCGGGGGCUCAGCCUCGGAUGCCGGUGGAUACUGUCGGGCUUGAGUACGGAAGAGGCGAGUGGAAUUCCUGGUGUAGCGGUGAAAUGCGCAGAUAUCAGGAGGAACACCAAUUGCGAAGGCAGCUCGCUGGGACGUUACUGACGCUGAGACGCGAAAGCGCGGGGAUCAAACAGG